rnacentral:rRNA from 1 species
GAUGAACGCUGGCGGCGUGCCUAAUACAUGCAAGUCGAGCGAACGGACGAGAAGCUUGCUUCUCUGAUGUUAGCGGCGGACGGGUGAGUAACACGUGGAUAACCUACCUAUAAGACUGGGAUAACUUCGGGAAACCGGAGCUAAUACCGGAUAAUAUUUUGAACCGCAUGGUUCAAAAGUGAAAGACGGUCUUGCUGUCACUUAUAGAUGGAUCCGCGCUGCAUUAGCUAGUUGGUAAGGUAACGGCUUACCAAGGCAACGAUGCAUAGCCGACCUGAGAGGGUGAUCGGCCACACUGUAACUGAGACACGGUCCAGACUCCUACGGUAGGCAGCAGUAGGGAAUCUUCCGCAAUGGGCGAAAGCCUGACGGAGCAACGCCGCGUGAGUGAUGACGGUCUUCGGAUCGUAAAACUCUGUUAUUAGGGAAGAACAUAUGUGUAAGUAACUGUGCACAUCUUGACGGUACCUAAUCAGAAAGCCACGGCUAACUACGU